AAACCAACAGGGAUUGCCUCAGUAACGGCGAGUGAAGCGGCAAAAGCUCAAAUUUGAAAUCUGGCACCUUCGGUGUCCGAGUUGUAAUUUGAAGAAGGUAACUUUGGAGUUGGCUCUUGUCUAUGUUCCUUGGAACAGGACGUCACAGAGGGUGAGAAUCCCGUGCGAUGAGAUGUCCAAUUCUAUGUAAAGUGCUUUCGAAGAGUCGAGUUGUUUGGGAAUGCAGCUCUAAGUGGGUGGUAAAUUCCAUCUAAAGCUAAAUAUUGGCGAGAGACCGAUAGCGAACAAGUACAGUGAUGGAAAGAUGAAAAGAACUUUGAAAAGAGAGUGAAAAAGUACGUGAAAUUGUUGAAAGGGAAGGGCUUGAGAUCAGACUUGGUAUUUUGCAAGCUUUACCUUCGUGGUGGAGUCCCCUGCAGUUUACUGGGCCAGCAUCGGUUUGGAUGGUAGGAUAAUGACUUGGGAAUGUGGCUUUGCUUCGGUAAAGUGUUAUAGCCCUUGUUGAUGCUACCUGUCUAGACCGAGGACUGCGUCUUUGACUAGGAUGUUGGCAUAAUGAUCUUAAGUCGC
rnacentral:rRNA from 1 species